AGUAAAUCUGUUAAUCACUGUCGCACGAUUGCACCUGCUAGAUGUCAAAAAUAGAUAUAUGUCGUAUUUCAGUUGUUUGAGUUACAUAGUAAAUCAUGUCUGGGUGGCUUAGGAUUGUUGUUUAAAGAUAAAUGAGUCUUCUCCUCCGAUACACUUUGCUCUUCAUGCGGUGGCAGAAGCUCCAAAUGACGCCGACAAAGAUGGCCUGGAAGCCCAACACCAUCAGGACGUAAGCAAGGAUGAGUGCCCAUGAGUCUACGUCGUCGUCGCCGCCCUGUUGGGACAGCAGAAAUGUCUUCACUUCUAGUGGACGUUGACUGACUGCAACUUUCUCUGCAAGCAGUGUAAAGACGCUGCCCAACACCAAGAAGAUGAGAAGGCUCCAAUUUUCAAGAAAAUGGGUUUAUUUAACAAAGGCAAAGAAGGGGG